rnacentral:piRNA from 1 species
UAGGAUGUUGUCCUGCAGCUCACC